GUAGGUAUAGCUCAGUGGCAGAGUAUGUGCUUAGCAUGCACCGGGUCCUGGGUUCAAUCCCCAGUACCUUCA
rnacentral:tRNA from 1 species